UAGGGAAUCUUCGGCAAUGGGGGCAACCCUGACCGAGCAACGCCGCGUGAGUGAAGUAGGUUUUCGGAUCGUAAAGCUCUGUUGUAAGAGAAGAACGUGUGUGAGAGUGGAAAGUUCACACAGUGACGGUAACUUACCAGAAAGGGACGGCUAACUACGUGCCAGCAGCCGCGGUAAUACGUAGGUCCCGAGCGUUGUCCGGAUUUAUUGGGCGUAAAGCGAGCGCAGGCGGUUUAAUAAGUCUGAAGUUAAAGGCAGUGGCUUAACCAUUGUUCGCUUUGGAAACUGUUAAACUUGAGUGCAGAAGGGGAGAGUGGAAUUCCAUGUGUAGCGGUGAAAUGCGUAGAUAUAUGGAGGAACACCGGUGGCGAAAGCGGCUCUCUGGUCUGUAACUGACGCUGAGGCUCGAAAGCGUGGGGAGCAAACAGG
rnacentral:rRNA from 1 species